rnacentral:rRNA from 1 species
AACGAACGCUGGCGGCAGGCCUAACACAUGCAAGUCGAGCGCCCCGCAAGGGGAGCGGCGGACGGGUGAGUAACGCGUGGGAACGUACCCUUUGCUACGGAAUAGCCUCGGGAAACUGGGAGUAAUACCGUAUGUGCCCUUCGGGGAAAGAUUUAUCGGCAAAGGAUCGGCCCGCGUUGGAUUAGGUAGUUGGUGGGGUAAUGGCCUACCAAGCCGACGAUCCAUAGCUGGUUUGAGAGGAUGAUCAGCCACACUGGGACUGAGACACGGCCCAGACUCCUACGGGAGGCAGCAGUGGGGAAUCUUAGACAAUGGGCGCAAGCCUGAUCUAGCCAUGCCGCGUGAGCGAUGAAGGCCUUAGGGUUGUAAAGCUCUUUCAGUGGGGAAGAUAAUGACUGUACCCACAGAAGAAGACCCCGGCUAACUCCGUG